GGACGAACGCUGGCGGCGUGCUUUAACACAUGCAAGUCGAACGGGGAUUAGAAGGAAGCUUGCGAAUUCUAAACUUAGUGGCGCACGGGUGAGUAACGCGUGGAUAACCUGCCUGGUAGACCGGGAUAACAGCUGGAAACGGCUGCUAAUACCGGAUACGCUUAAGGGAACGCAUGUUCUUUUAAGGAAAGCAAUCGUGCUAUCAGAUGGAUCCGCGUCCCAUUAGCUAGUUGGUGGUGUAAGGGACCACCAAGGCGACGAUGGGUAGCCGGCCUGAGAGGGCGACCGGCCACACUGGGACUGAGACACGGCCCAGACUCCUACGGGAGGCAGCAGUGGGGAAUCUUCCGCAAUGGGCGAAAGCCUGACGGAGCAACGCCGCGUGAGGGAAGAAGGCCUUCGGGUUGUAAACCUCUGUCAUCAAGGAAGAACAGAUGACGGUACUUGGAGAGGAAGCCCCGGCUAACUACGUGCCAGCAGCCGCGGUAAAACGUAGGGGGCGAGCGUUGUCCGGAAUUACUGGGCGUAAAGGGCGCGUAGGUGGUCCAUUAAGUUAGAGGUGAAAGAUCGGGGCUCAACCCCGAGAUUGCCUCUGAUACUGGUGGACUUGAGUGCAGGAGAGGGGAGCGGAAUUCCCAGUGUAGCGGUGAAAUGCGUAGAUAUUGGGAG
rnacentral:rRNA from 1 species